GCCCUGCUGAGGUGCCCUUAUCUCCAGGCGAGGUCCCGCACAGCUCCGUGCUCCCGGGGAAGGACCUGUCAUCAGGCUUUGGGAUCCCCCUUUGCUUCCCAUCGGCUCUUUAGGAGUUGGAUUAACUUCAGGAUGACACGGCUAAAACCACGGCAAGGCCUCGCAGCCAAGAGGGAGCUCCCGUCUCAAAGAACCUCUUGGCAAAGCU